GAGACAGCAGUAGCCGCGGGAAUACGUAGGUGGCAAGCGUUGUCCGGAAUUAUUGGGCGUAAAGGGCUCGCAGGCGGUUUCUUAAGUCUGAUGUGAAAGCCCCCGGCUCAACCGGGGAGGGUCAUUGGAAACUGGGAAACUUGAGUGCAGAAGAGGAGAGUGGAAUUCCACGUGUAGCGGUGAAAUGCGUAGAGAUGUGGAGGAACACCAGUGGCGAAGGCGACUCUCUGGUCUGUAACUGACGCUGAGGUGCGAAAGCGUGGGGAGCAAACAGGAUUAGAUACCCCUGUAGUCCCUGUCUCUUAUAC
rnacentral:rRNA from 1 species